UAAUACGUAGGGUGCGAGCGUUGUCCGGAAUUACUGGGCGUAAAGAGCUCGUAGGUGGUUUGUCGCGUUGUUCGUGAAAACUCACAGCUUAACUGUGGGCGUGCGGGCGAUACGGGCAGACUGGAGUACUGCAGGGGAGACUGGAAUUCCUGGUGUAGCGGUGGAAUGCGCAGAUAUCAGGAGGAACACCGGUGGCGAAGGCGGGUCUCUGGGCAGUAACUGACGCUGAGGAGCGAAAGCGUGGGGAGCGAACAGGA
rnacentral:rRNA from 1 species